rnacentral:sRNA from 1 species
UCAAACAAUAGACUCCAGACUCCAGAUU